rnacentral:rRNA from 1 species
AUACGUAUGGGGCAAGCGUUGUUCGGAUUCAUUGGGCGUAAAGGGCACGCAGGCGGAUUGUUAAGUUGGAUGUAUAAUCUUCGGGCUCAACCCGGAGUCUGCAUCCAAAACUGGCAAUCUAGAGUACCAGAGGGGAAAGCGGAAUUCUCGGUGUAGCGGUGGAAUGCGUAGAUAUCGAGAGGAACACCAGUGGCGAAGGCGGCUUUCUGGCUGGUUACUGACGCUCAGGUGCGAAAGCGUGGGGAGCAAACAGGAUUAGAAACCCUAGUAGUCC